CAGGGAUGGAGCAUUCACCACUUCUCUGGGCAGCCUGUGCCAGUUUACAGAGGAAAUGUGCAGUAACUUCCAAGGGUUUGCUUUGGAAAAGAGAUAAAAAAACCAAACCAAACAUACAAAAACUCCCCCCAGCAGCACGCUGUGUUUUCAGUUCUUGCUUUUAAUAAUUUCCAAACUUGCCUCCUUUUCCAGGACAGUGUUUUCCCUCUGACACUGUUUUCCUCCUUGCCAGAUGAUGUGCUUUGCUGAAGGAACACAGAAUUUACACAGGAUGGAUAUAUUGAAGCUAAAGAUGAAGAAUCAUGUUACCAAACAUAGUUUAUUUUUUGUGGGGUUUUCAGAAGGGUGAAUCAGUACCUCAGCACCCCUGGCCAGCCCAGUGCUGUUGCCUUCUAUUACCUGCAUGUUCUUACGCUGUUGUGUUCUCUCCCCAUUUCGCUCUCUUGGGUCACCUCCUCCUUCACCUGAAGGGUUAUUUUGGCUGUAGCAGCUCAGAGCCGGUUGCCAAGCGCUGUGUUGCCCUCCCUGCUGCAGCAGCAGUGUAAUUGCCCUCCCUGUCUUCCUGAGCAGGAUCCUGCCUUGCUGAUGGAAGGGCUCAGCCGUGCAGGUCUGGGCACUGCUGGGGCACAGAGGAGUCACUGGGGCUGCUCCCACCGCCCUUCCCAAGGUCCCAUUGCUCAUCCUGGAGCACAUACCGAUAACUGACACAAGCUCCUCGUGCUGUUAGGGCACAGUGUUUACAGCCCACUCCUGAGCACAGGCUUUGUAUCUCCAACAGGAUUUACUUUUUGCUGUGGAAGCAAAUGUGGACUUUUAAUCAUGCGGUUUCAUGCCAGUGAGCAGGCUCCAGGGAGACCCUAGAGCAGCCUUUCAAUAGUGAAAGGGGCCAACAAGAAACCUGGAGAGGGGCUUUGGACAAGGGCCUGUAGGGACAGGACAAGGGGAAUGGCUUUAACCUGCCAGAGGGGAGAUUGAGAUGAGCUCUGAGGCAGAAGCUCUUCCCUGUGAGGCUGCUGAGGUGCUGGCACAGACUUUUCCCAGAGAAGCUGUGGCUGCCCCAUCCCUGGCAGUGUUCAAGGCCAGGUUGGACACAGGGGCUUGGAGCAACCUGCUCUAGUGGAAGGUGUCCCUGCCCGUGGCAGGGGUUGGAACUGGAUGAGCUUUAAGGUCCCUUCACCCCAAACCAGUCUGGGAUUCCAUGAUUGUAUGUUUCAAAUGCUGACCUGUCACAAACCCUGCACAUUAUUUAGGUGUCUGGGAGUGCACUCGCACCCUCUGGGUCAGGUGUGCUCAGAACCCACCUUCCAACAGCGCUGCUGAGUGUGAUCAGUCUCUCUGAGCUUUUCUGUUGCAGCUGUUGAUGACAGAGACAAGUUCUGCUGAACAUUUCAACUCACCUGUGAGGCAAGCGAAGCACCCGAGGGCUGUGUGAGAGCUCCAGCUGGAGCUUUAUCUCCACUGACCAGCCUGGCACGUGUGGGGUUGGGUUGGUUUGUUUGGUGGUUGGAUUUUUUGGUGUUUUAUUUCCAUAGAAUCAUAGAACGUUUUGGGUUGGAAGGGACCUCAGUGAUCAUCUAGUUCCAUUUUGUUGUUGCUUGUUUUCAGCUCGUGGUUUGUAGCUGAAAGGUUUUGAAGCACAGAGGUUGCAUAUAAUGGCUUUAUUUAAAGUGAUCUGAAAUUCAGGCUUCCAUCCCACACGAGCUGGAGCACCACGUGCUUGUGCUGGGGAGUUUGCCUGUAACGGCAAUUCCCUGGGGCUCGUUUCUGUAACACGGGAGGGUGCAGCAGCUCAUUUUGUUGUCCACAUGUUGGGGAUUCUGUGCGUUUAGAAAGGGACUCACCCUGGUGCUCGAGGGCACCCCAACGCCCUGUGCAGGCAGAUGUUCCUCACCGAGGCUUCCCCAGCCCACCUGGCUGAGCACCCUCCUGUGUGCUGGUUUCUUUCCACAGCCCACCCCAGACCUUGCAGCGUUGGAGAACCAGCCCAGUGACUCCCCGGGCAGGGGCCAGAGCAGCACCAGCAGCUUUGCACCAGCUCCUGAUGGGCGGCACAGCCUGAGGUGCAGCAAGGACGUCACCCUCAGCCCUACAGCGAGCAGAAGGUGUCUGAAGAACUCGGAGGAGCAGAUUUCAACUGCUGAGGGCCGGAGCUGGGACGGCCCCUUCGCUCCGCAGGGACCAGGAGACAGUUUUGGUAACAAGUCCAGGAGGGGCCCACACCCGCCAGUGAAGACAAAGGUGAAUCGGUUUGGGUUUGUCUAACACUGAACUGUAGCACAUUCACUUUCCUGUAUCACUGUCGUUACGAUAAAACUUGAAAUACAAUCACUUGUGGUGUCAAAC